rnacentral:rRNA from 1 species
AUGAGACAGGAGGCCGCCAGCCUGGUGAUCACCCACGAAGACGACCGGCAGCACCACCACAGCCGCCCGCCGCCUCCCGACGAGGAGGAGGAGGACACGGGCGCCGUGGCCCCGCCGUCCUGCGCGACAAUCCUGCUGCGGCGGGAGGGCGGCGAGGCCGAGGCGGGGGAAGGCGAGGAGCCGCUGCAGCUGGUCCCGCCGCUCAACUUCGCGAUGGUGGACCAGGGCGUGUACCGCUCCGGGUUCCCGGACGCCUCCAACCUGCCCUUCCUCGAGACCCUCCGCCUCCGCUCCGUCCUGUGCCUCUGCCCGGAGCCGUACCCGGAGGCCAACCAGGAGUUCCUCCGUGCCCGCGGGAUCAGGCUCUUCCAACUCGGAAUCGACGGCUCCAAGGAACCCUUUGUGAGCAUUCCCGAAGACACAAUCCGCGAGGCUCUGAAAGUUGUUCUAGACACAAGAAACCACCCGGUGCUUAUUCACUGCAAGCGUGGAAAGCAUCGAACUGGCUGUGUUGUUGGAUGCUUGAGGAAACUGCAGCGCUGGUGUCUAACAUCAGUAUUUGACGAAUACCAGCGUUUUGCUGCUGCGAAAGCAAGAGUUUCUGAUCUAAGGUUUAUUGAGCUAUUCGACAUCUCAAGCUUAAAGCAUUUACCAGCGUCUUUCUCAUGUUGA